rnacentral:rRNA from 1 species
CCUACGGGCGGCACCAGUGGGGAAUAUUGGACAAUGGGGGAAACCCUGAUCCAGCCAUGCCGCGUGUGUGAAGAAGGCCUUAUGGUUGUAAAGCACUUUAAGCGAGGAGGAGGCUACUGAGACUAAUACUCUUGGAUAGUGGACGUUACUCGCAGAAUAAGCACCGGCUAACUCUGUGCCAGCAGCCGCGGUAAUACAGAGGGUGCGAGCGUUAAUCGGAUUUACUGGGCGUAAAGCGUGCGUAGGCGGCUUUUUAAGUCGGAUGUGAAAUCCCCGAGCUUAACUUGGGAAUUGCAUUCGAUACUGGGAAGCUAGAGUAUGGGAGAGGAUGGUAGAAUUCCAGGUGUAGCGGUGAAAUGCGUAGAGAUCUGGAGGAAUACCGAUGGCGAAGGCAGCCAUCUGGCCUAAUACUGACGCUGAGGUACGAAAGCAUGGGGAGCAAACAGGAUUAGAUACCCCGGUAGUC